UUACCCGCAAUAGUUAAGCGGUGAGGGUUCCAAUUGUCAGGACCACACCUUCUUCGCCGUCUGUAGGAAUUAAGCGGGACCGUUUUAUACGCUUUUCUCUUUCUCUGGCCGCCCAUAGGUGGGGCAAACUGUCGAACUGUCACGUGCCUAUCAAGGUGUAGCAGAUAAUGAGGUCAAUGUAUUUUUGGGGUGCUGUUAUCUUUUACCUGACAGUCACCAGUUUGGGGACGGUCCAGUUAUCUGAGGU